UAAAGGUCAGUAGUUGUACAUCCGGGUGAAAUGAUGCAUGAAUGGUUUCCAAGGAGUAGUAAUUAUAUAUAUCUUGGGAUUCUAACACUUUGAGAUUUGAAAAGAUAAAGGAAGUUUGAAAGACUGUUGUUACACGCCAAAGAUAAGAGAGAUAAAGUCAAAGAUUGUUUUGAGUGGGUUAAUUUUUUAAAGAAUCUUUGAUUUUUAUCCAAAGAGUAUAACUAAAAAGAUUGUUCAUAUUUACUGUUGUGAGCUUGUUCAGUUAUCUAUAAUGUAUUAUCUAGCCGGUUUCUUUGGGAUUAAUUAGAACAUGUACUUAUCUUUUUAUGGAACUACAACGGG
rnacentral:lncRNA from 1 species